GACAGAGGGUGCAAACGUUGUUCGGAUUUACUGGGCGUAAAGCGUGUGUAGGCGGCUUUGUAUGUCGGACGUGAAAGCCCACGGCUCAACCGUGGAAGUGCAUCCGAAACUGCAUAGCUUGAGUCCCGGAGAGGAAGGGGGAAUGCUUGGUGUAGAGGUGAAAUUCGUAGAUAUCAAGCAGAACACCUGCGGCGAAGGCGGCCUUCUGGACGGUGACUGACGCUGAGACACGAAAGCGUGGGGAGCAAACAGG
rnacentral:rRNA from 1 species